AUUCGGAAAAGAAAGGCGCUGUCGCCAACCCCGGAGCAGCCAGUCCCGGCCCUGCUUCAUAGCCAGGGGAGACCAGGCGGCCCGGGGCCAGCCUCUCCUAAACCCCAGCCCCCCCGCUGCCGCCUUCCCUCCCUCCAGCUUCCAGGCGUCCCUGCGUCUCUCCCGUGGUGGCCAUUAGCUAUAUCGUGGGUCUCGGGGUCCCCGUGGCCAGCUCAGGGCUUGGGAUCGGAGGGUGCCCUGGCCUUGGGAGUCGGUGAAGGAAAAGCAAGGAGGCGAGGGGGACCGAGGAUAGACAUUCACCACCCUGGCCCCCGCGAAAGGAGGUAGGCGAGAGGCCGGCCUCCCAGAAACAAAGUGCUCCGAGGGCUGCAGCGAAAACAGCCAGUGGAAGACAAGUAUACUAGCAUUGCUGGGCUUCAAUGGGAGAGCCCACCACCCAGGGACAGGGGUGCCUGAGGUGAGAGGAUCAGGUGCAGGGAGACCAAGACCCCUUCUGAGAGGCUACAGGGCUGAGACAGUACUUCCCCUGCAAGCGACGCCUCACUGGCCUAGGUGACAGAAAUCCUAGCACUCUAGUUACCUCUUGGGCUGGUCCCCCUUAGCCAGAUGAGAAGAGCCCUGCCUCUCUUCCUGGACCCAGCCACAGUUUGACAUAGCGUAGUGAAGGAUGGCAUCGGAGACGGUCAUGGGACUUCGGCCCUGGACGCAGGCUUCGAUCUCAGGCACGGAGAGCUGGCUUUGCAGGAAGAGGUGUAACUGGCUGUCCGAUAGGAGGACCACACUCUGCAGUACCCUGUGGGGCAAACACAAGAGGAAAUGCUGCAGACCUUGUCUCCGCUUCUCAAUGAACUCAUCCGAGCUGCCAAAGAAGGUAGACUUCCCAGGAAGUUCAGCUGCUUUCUCAGCCACACGAACUCACGAUAUCGGCGACGCACACAAGAUGUCUUGGCAGUAAAGGCUUUGCUGUUGGUCUACAGGAGGAAGCAUGUGAGAAAGAAAAAAGCCAAGGAGAAAAAGACCAAAUUCACACAUAUCCCCAUCAUCACUCUGACGGAGGAUCCAAGCCACCAGGCCACAGUCCAGAUCAGGACUGUCAAAAUAUCCAAAAACAGGCUCCACCUCUGCUCUAGCCCUCAGCCCUGGAGAGUGCUGACCCCGUACAGAAGGCUGAUGCACUUACGUGGAGAAAGAUCUUAUAAUCCACAUAAGAAUUCCAGGAGCCCUCAUUCUGCACUCGGGGGUCCUGAACACGCACGGUGAUCACCUCCUGGAGAACCCAAGCCAAUGGUUCCAGUCAUUUCCUCUCUCGAUAUGCUAUCCGGUUUGUACCAAUGCCCAAGUACCCCACAGCUGCACAGGUCGGCUCGGGAUGUUUUCCGAUCCUUUGUAAAGAUUCAUUAAAGCCUAAGCCCCUGAUUUCCCCCAGUGUGGCAGUUUACAUGUGCAGCGACAUCGCCCACUCCAACAAGGGGCCCAUGAAGCCUCCAGCGCUGGGUUACUCCAGUCCAAAGGGGCCCAUGAUGUCACCUUCUGUUAAAAUACAGCACUAAUCUUGUUACUCCUAGAACCACUCCAACAGCAUCCACCCUGGCUGCCGCCUCCACCCCCUUCUCCUCUCUUAAGAGCGGAACAAUAAGGUUUAAUUUCCCUUUCCAAUUUACCUUGAAAUGAAAACUGACUUCAGCCAAUAUGUACUGCCAACAAAUGAUCCAGGCCGGCUCCUGGGAAAACAAGACUAUCUCUAAGCUCUCUCUCUCCUCCCCCCAUACCCAUUCACACACCCACUCAUUUUUACAGGCCUACAAUUAAUUUUAAACACAUUCUCUUAUUAGUUUUGCCUUACCAUUAGAACCGCGUGUAAUGAGUUUCCUUCUAUUUUAUGUUUUGCUAACACAAGGCUAACGUUUCAAGAGAAGGGGAACUCAUUUACACCGCAAAAUUAGCAGAGCAAACAGCUUUCCCAAAUCUUUCCAGUACACCAGAAGGUCUCUCCACACACAGCCACUGCACAGGGAUAAAACUGCAUGGUGUAUGAUAGGACUGGACUACACCGUUGAGCAAGCCAGAGGUUUUGUGACUGCGAUACCAUCGUUGCACUUUUGCCAACAAUCUGAUUUUUCAUCUGAUGCAGUCACCAUCACAAAGGCAUCCUGAACUGAAAGGAAAUUCCAAUUCCUUACCAACCCAUGUGUAACGUCCCCAAUGUAAGCAGUCAAAGGGUUGUGACCAGGGCAGCCCAAGUGGCU